CCCCAAAAAUAGCUGGAAAUUGCACCAGAAAUAGCGGGGGAAAUCACACUAAAUAUCUGGGGAAAUUGCCCCAAAAUAUCCUGGGAAAUCGGCCCAAAAAUAACGGGAAAUUGCACCAGAAAUACUGGGAAAAAUUCCCCUAAAAAUCCUGGGAAAUCGCCCCAAAAAUAGCUGGAAAUUGCACCAGAAAUACUGGGGAAAAUGACACCAGAAAUCCUGGGAAAUUACCCAGAAAUAUCCUGGGAAAUCGGCCCAAAAUAUCCUGGGAAAUUGCCCCAAAAUAUCCUGGGAAAUUGCCCCAAAAAUAACGGGAAAUUGCACAAGAAAUACUGGGAAAAAUUCCACUAAAAAAUCAUGGGAAAUCGCCCCAAAAAUAACUGGAAAUUUUACCAGAAAUACCGGGGGAAAUCACAUUAAAUAUCUGGGGAAAUUGCCCCCAAAAUACCAGGAAAUUGCACCAGAAAUAGUGGGGGAAAUCACACUAAAUAUCUGGGGAAAUUGCCCCAAAAAUAACGGGAAAUUGCACUAGAAAUACAGGGGGAAAUUACCCCAAAAAUACCAGGAAAAUCACCCCAAAAUAUCCUGGGAAAUUGCCCCAAAAUAUCCUGGGAAAUCGGCCCAAAAAUAACGGGAAAUUGCACAAGAUAUACUGGGAAAAAUUCCCCUAAAAAAUCCUGGGAAAUCACCCCAAAAAUACCAGGGAAAUUGUCCCAAAAAUAACGGGAAAUGACAUCAGAAAUCCUGGUAAAUUACCCAGAAAUAUCCUGGGAAAUUACCCCAAAAUCCUGGGAAAAAUAAUCCAAAAAUAGCUUAGGAAAUUACCCAAAAAUAAUGGGAAAUGACAUGAAAAUAUCCUGGGAAAUUACCCCAAAAUCCUGGGAAAAAUAAUCCAAAAAUAUACUGGGAAAUUGCACAAAAAUAUCCUGGGAAAUUACCCAAAAAUAAUGGGAAAUGACAGGAAAAUAUCCUGGGAAAUUGGCCCAAAAUCCUGGGGAAAAUCACGUGAAAAUAUCCUGGGAAAUUGCCCCAAAAUUUCCAGGGAAAUUGCCCCAAAAAUCCCGGGAAAAAUCACACCAAAAAUUCUGGGAAAACACCCCAAAAAUACCCUGAGAAAUUGCCCAAAAAAUCCCAGGAAAUCACCCGAAAAAAUCCUGGGAAAUCAACCCAAAAUAUCCUGGGGAAAAAAUCCCCCAAAAUAAUUUCCCCACAAUCCCAGUUUUUCACCCCAAAAUCUCAUCCCCAACGGGCGAAUCGGAG
rnacentral:lncRNA from 1 species